rnacentral:rRNA from 1 species
GAUGAACGCUGGCGGCGUGCCUAAUACAUGCAAGUCGAGCGAACAGACGAGGAGCUUGCUCCUCUGACGUUAGCGGCGGACGGGUGAGUAACACGUGGAUAACCUACCUAUAAGACUGGGAUAACUUCGGGAAACCGGAGCUAAUACCGGAUAAUAUAUUGAACCGCAUGGUUCAAUAGUGAAAGACGGUUUUGCUGUCACUUAUAGAUGGAUCCGCGCCGCAUUAGCUAGUUGGUAAGGUAACGGCUUACCAAGGCGACGAUGCGUAGCCGACCUGAGAGGGUGAUCGGCCACACUGGACCUGAGACACGGUCCAGACUCCUACGGGAGGCAGCAGUAGGGAAUCUUCCGCAAUGGGCGAAAGCCUGACGGAGCAACGCCGCGUGAGUGAUGAAGGUCUUCGGAUCGUAAAACUCUGUUAGUAGGGAAGAACAAAUGUGUAAGUAACUAUGCACGUCUUGACGGUACCUAAUCAGAAAGCCACGGCUAACUACGUG